UCUCAGGUGCCCCCGCCCCUUUUCUAGCACGGCGUUUGAUGUUGGGUGCUCAUUAGUGGUGUGGCUAAUUUAGUCACGGCUCGCUUUGGCUUGAUUUCGUGCAUCUAUUGGAAGGCUGUACGAGAUGUCAACUGGUUAAUGUUCGCGACAUGUGUUUGGUCGGACUGCCUACUCUACAUCUUGUUGCUUGGAUGGUGGUAUUAUCCAGUGUACUCUCGCUGCGGUCAGUCCCUUGCUUCUACGCUGUUUUGUAUCGGUGCUGGCUCUGCUUUGGUGUGGCGGUUGGCUGCAGUUUCCAGUUUGUCUGGUUCUGUUAAUUUUUAUAUUCUUCAGCACUCACACCGGCUUCGUUCAUCUGACGUGACUGACUGCUGCAGUGUCCGUAAUGUGUUGGAGGGUUCCUGCUACAGUGCGUGUGUUUAAUUGAACAUCAGUACCCAGAAAUACGCUGCUGUCUUGUUCCUUGUUGAUUUGCUUAUUUUGUAUUAGUUUAAUUUUGCUUUUAUGUAUUAGUAGUUUGUCUUUUUUUUUUUUUGUUGGAUGGUUCAUCUUGGCUUUAUACAUCUGUUUAUAUAAGGCCCCUUGUAUGUUAUAGGCCUACUGCCUGGUGACCUCAUUCAUUUUUCUGAUUGUUUCUUUUCUUUUGAUCUGUGUAUUUUUGUUUGGUUGAUUUUGGUUUUUGAUUACAGGUGCUGUGUGUCCAACAAAAUAAAGGGAGGCAGUUUUCCGCACUUGUAAGGUGGUGGUGCUGUCUUGUCACUGUGUGUUGUGCUGUGUCGAUCACCAACAGUAAUCUCACUGGGUAUUGUGUGAGUGUGUGUGCGCUGAUAGUGUGGUAAUUAAUUGAAAUUUAUGUUUCUUUAGGAGUUGAUACCAGUUGGUCACAGCCCUGUAUAUUCUUUGUGGUGUCUGUGUAUUUUGGAGU